UAUAGAAAGAAUUGAUUUAUACGUAAAAUUCGAAAUGUUAAAAUUAAUUUAUGUUAUACCGAUAGAAUAAUAUAUACCGAUGAUAGUCGCGAAGAAAACUUGGAUGUACUAUGUGAAAGACGCUGUAGCUACGAUCAUAAAGGCUUCCAGGGGGAAUUCCCUUCGCUAUUAUUCCAGUCGCGUUAGAUCUUAGAAGGCAUGAGAAACAACAUUAUCUAUGCAGCGAAUAUAUCUAUACAUUUAUGGAUGAAAUUUAUCAUCUUAACUGCAAAUACCAUAAUGGCAAACAAUAACAAAGGCAGUCUUUGUCUAGAAAAUACUCUUUGCAUAUAAGGUAAGACGUAUAUAUCGCGUUAACAAACAAUAAUUUUUAUACUUUAUUAAUAACAAAAAAUUCCUUUCGUUUCUUUUAGUAUUUUUCUUUUUUAAUGUUUCGCGCUGUAAACAAAUAGAAAUGUCUGGAUUGAGAUCUAUUUCGGAUUUAAAGGUUUAAUAUGCGAAAAUUGAUUUAGUCGUUUAUUUUUGUUAAUUUAAUGAUGUAAAAAUACGAAAUUGGAGCAAAAUGUUAUCGAUUCGCUCGGUCUUAAAACUACUAGAAUUCCCUUCCUAAGUUUUCCCAAAAUUAAUGAACAACAGCGGUUACUUGUUGAGGAAUGCUCGCAAGGUCACACUCCAUCACGUUUCUGAAGGCGUCGGGGACGACGGCUCUAUAUCCACAUAAGUCCGAGAAGCUUGCCGAGGAUUUCCUUAUCAUUUUACCACGGGCGAAAUAUUCAAUAUAGCCGGUUGCAUUAUGUAGCGAACUCGGACAGGGUGCUCGAACGGGGGAAAAGGAGGCGGCGGUGGCGGUGGCGUCGUUCAGUGGAGAAAGAGAGGUAAGACCGGUGGGAAAAAGUUGAGACGAGUAAAAAAAAAAGAAAGGAGGAAAGUAUGUCGCGGACCGGCUCUGCAUGCCAACUACUCCACGGAGGCGCCCGGACUACUUGACAGUGAUACCGAAACGCGGGCGUUGAACAUUCCUCGACCUUACGUAGGGAGACGGAGCACACGUGGAAUCGCACGGCAGCUCGGGAAUCUGAUUAUUGUAUUUUUUUUUUCUCUCACUUGUCGAUAUAUAAAUCGGUUGGCUUUCAAGUUGACAUUUUUUUUUUAUUCGAAUUCGUUUAUGUAAUGGAUUACAUGAAUAGAUUACAUGAAAAUCUUUCCUCGAAAAAAAAUAACGGGUUCGGGGUACAAUAUUCCACCCGUCAAAUGCACAUCGGAGAACGAAAUGUGCAGAAAGAAUGAUGUGGAAAAGAGUCUACGGGAUACGUGGAUGUUAAGUAUUCAAUAGCUCAACCGAGGGAGUACCGGCGCACUCUUUCCGAUUCCAGAUCCGUUCCGCUAUACGAUCCCCCACCCUUCGAGAAUGAUCAAAAAGUAUUAUUUUGCGUUACAUAUCUUCUUUUCAUAAAGAAAAACACCAUUGUCACUCUCUUGAUCGGGAGACUCGUGUUACUCGACCAUUGUAUAGAGGUGGAGAUGGGAGGCGUUAGUUACCCAUCGAGUUAAUUCGUGAAAAUUUCACUACGAGACCACCUACGAAAUUCUCCGCGUUAAUACUUGAGCAGCGCACGGGGGGAGGGGAAAGGGAUUCGGCCGCUCUCGUGAGAAUUCUGGACGGUGCUUCGCACCGGCAGGAACGUAUCUCAGGAAAUAUAUGGGUCUCGUGCAGAGACCAUCUCGGACGGGGUAGGUUGCCGAGGGCGGCUGGGACGCGAGGGGGGAGGGUUGAUGGCGCAGGUCUGUCGGGGAAACUGCGCCUACGUGUAGGCCAUCCACGAGACAUUCGAUCCCGCCACGCGCGGGGUAGUAAAGCCCCCGAAGUAAAAUUUUAACACGAGAAAAAGUUUUUGCGAGCGGACAAUAUACAUUACGUGUUUGCGUAUUAAAUUCCGUCGGGCGAUAAAUCCAGGUAAAUCCAACUAUCUUCCAACGAGAGAAAGAAGCCAAAGGAGCAAAAUAUUACUUUCGGUUACGUAAUCAUUAUUCAAGCAAAUAUUUGCGCUCUUUAAGCCA